CAGUCGCCGCGGGAAUACGUAGGUGGCAAGCGUUGUCCGGAAUUAUUGGGCGUAAAGGGCUCGCAGGCGGUUUCUUAAGUCUGAUGUGAAAGCCCCCGGCUCAACCGGGGAGGGUCAUUGGAAACUGGGAAACUUGAGUGCAGAAGAGGAGAGUAGAAUUCCACGUGUAGCGGUGAAAUGCGUAGAGAUGUGGAGGAACACCAGUGGCGAAGGCGACUCUCUGGUCUGUAACUGACGCUGAGGAGCGAAAGCGUGGGGAGCGAACAGGAUUAGAGACCCCAGUAGUCCCUGUCUCUUAUAC
rnacentral:rRNA from 1 species